CUUAAGUCUGUCUGGACAGUGCCUUUCCAUGGGGGCAAGACAAGAAAGAAAGUAAAUACCCUGAAGUGCAGAACGGACCAGGAAGGCAUGGAUACUUCAAGAAAAUGUAAUAAUAAGAUCCAGAUCUGCAGCAGCCAUCUUAGAGCCAUGAGGUGCCAAAGCUUGAAGAUGAAAUCAAACUUGCUAAAGAAGGUGAAGCAGCAGGAGCGCCAUCAUGACCCUGAACAGCUUCACCAGCCCUAGACUACCUACUUCUUCAUUUCUUUUGUUGAGACAAAUGAACCUCAUUUUUGAAGCCACUGAAAGGCACACCUUGAGUUUUAGCUGAACACAUGGCUAUCCAGCUAAAGACUACAUUUCCCAGCAUCUCCUUUGGCUAAACAUGGACACGUGACUAAACUCAGGCCAGU